UGACGGUACCUGACUAAGAAGCACCGGCUAAAUACGUGCCAGCAGCCGCGGUAAUACGUAUGGUGCAAGCGUUAUCCGGAUUUACUGGGUGUAAAGGGUGCGUAGGUGGCAUGGUAAGUCAGAUGUGAAAUACCGGGGCUCAACCCCGGGGCUGCAUUUGAAACUGCCAGGCUGGAGUACAGGAGAGGCAAGCGGAAUUCCUAGUGUAGCGGUGAAAUGCGUAGAUAUUAGGAGGAACACCAGUGGCGAAGGCGGCUUGCUGGACUGUUACUGACACUGAGGCACGAAAGCGUGGGGAGCAAACAGGAUUAGAUACCCUG
rnacentral:rRNA from 1 species